rnacentral:lncRNA from 1 species
UCUGAGUAGAAGAGAAAGCCCCCCUGGGCAGAAACGUACAACCAUGGCUCUUUCCGGACAAUGUGGAGGACGUUGGGCUUUGGGCCAACAUCCUGGCACGGCACAGUGAGCACGGCCUCUUCCCUAGACCAUGACACUAAGGAUCAUGUGAAAGCUCUCCCUGAGGAAAGAUUAAGAAGAGAUGAGUUAAAGCUGCAAAUACCAAGAUUUAAGGUUAAGUAUGAAGAAUUUCCUGAUACAGAAACUUCUUUAGCACUGGACUUGAAUAUCAAGACUCUUUCCCCAACAUUGACCUCCAAACAAACUUUGCUGGGUUGUUCAAACCGCUUUGUUUCCUGUAAGUGUUCAUUGAUCUCUGUGAGUGGAUGA